rnacentral:rRNA from 1 species
UUCUGACCUCGAAUCAGGUGGGACUACCCGCUGAACUUAAGCAUAUCAAUAAGCGGAGGAAAAGAAACUAACAAGGAUUCCCUUAGUAACUGCGAGUGAAGUGGGAUGAGCUCAAAUUUAAAAUCUGGUAGUCUCUGGCUGCCCGAGUUGUAAUCUAGAGAAGUGUUUUCUGUGCUGGACUGUGUUUAAGUUUCCUGGAUAUGGAACAUCAUAGAGGGUGAGAAUCCCGUCUUUGACACAGACUGCCAGUACUCUGUGAUGCACUCUCAACGAGUCGAGUUGUUUGGGAUUGCAGCUCAAAAUGGGAGGUAAAUUCCUUCUAAAGCUAAAUAUUGGCGAGAGAC